UACGUAGGUGACCAGCGUUGUCCGGAUUUACUGGGCGUAAAGAGCGCGCAGGCGGUCGUUCAAGUCGAGUGUGAAAGCCCCCGGCUCAACUGGGGAGGGUCAUUCGAUACUGAUCGACUUGAAGGCAGGAGAGGGAAGUGGAAUUCUCGGUGUAGUGGUGAAAUGCGUAGAUAUCGGGAGGAACACCAGUGGCGAAGGCGACUUCCUGGCCUGUUCUUGACGCUGAGGCGCGAAAGCUAGGGGAGCAAACGGG
rnacentral:rRNA from 1 species